UACAGAGGUCUCAAGCGUUGUUCGGAUUCAUUGGGCGUAAAGGGUGCGUAGGUGGCGCGGUAAGUCGGGUGUGAAAUCUCGGAGCUUAACUCCGAAAUUGCAUUCGAUACUGCCGUGCUCGAGGACUGGAGAGGAGACUGGAAUUCAUGGUGUAGCAGUGAAAUGCGUAGAGAUCAUGAGGAAGACCAGUGGCGAAGGCGGGUUGCUGGGCCGACACUGACGCUGAGGCGCGAAAGCUAGGGGAGCGAACGGG
rnacentral:rRNA from 1 species